GGGGACCCGCAAGCGGUGGAUGAUGUGGAUUAAUUCGAUGCAACGCGAAAAACCUUACCUACCCUUGACAUGUACGGAAGGCCGAAGAGAUUUGGCUGUGCUCGAAAGAGAACCGUAACACAGGUGCUGCAUGGCUGUCGUCAGCUCGUGUCGUGAGAUGUUGGGUUAAGUCCCGCAACGAGCGCAACCCUUGUCAUUAGUUGCUACAUUUAGUUGAGCACUCUAAUGGGACUGCCGGUGACAAACCGGAGGAAGGUGGGGGUGACGUCAAGUCCUCAUGGCCCUUAUGGGUAGGGCUUCACACGUCAUACAAUGGUACAUACAGAGGGCCGCCAACCCGCGAGGGGGAGCUAAUCCCAGAAAGUGUAUCGUAGUCCGGAUCGCAGUCUGCAACUCGACUGCGUGAAGUUGGAAUCGCUAGUAAUCGCGGAUCAGCAUGUCGCGGUGAAUACGUUCCCGGGUCUUGUACACACC
rnacentral:rRNA from 1 species